rnacentral:rRNA from 1 species
GCUGGCGGCAGGCCUAACACAUGCAAGUCGAGCGAGAAAGCACUUCGGUGCGAGUACAGCGGCGGACGGGUGAGUAACGCGUAGGAAUCUACCUGGUAGUGGGGGACAACAUGGUGAAAACCAUGCUAAUACCGCAUACGCCCUAUGGGGGAAAGCGGGGGAUCUUCGGACCUCGUGCUAUCGGAUGAGCCUGCGUUGGAUUAGCUUGUUGGUGAGGUAAAAGCUCACCAAGGCGACGAUCCAUAGCUGGUCUGAGAGGAUGAUCAGCCACACUGGGACUGAGACACGGCCCAGACUCCUACGGGAGGCAGCAGUGGGGAAUAUUGCGCAAUGGGCGAAAGCCUGACGCAGCCAUGCCGCGUGUGUGAAGAAGGCCUUAGGGUUGUAAAGCACUUUCAAUUGGGAAGAAAGGUUUGUAGUUAAUAACUGCAAGCUGUGACAUUACCUUUAGAAGAAGCACCGGCUAACUCCGUGCCAGCAGCCGCGGUAAUACGGAGGGUGCAAGCGUUAAUCGGAAUUACUGGGCGUAAAGCGCGCGUAGGCGGUUGUUUAAGUCGGAUGUGAAAGCCCUGGGCUCAACCUGGGAACUGCAUUCGAUACUGGGCAACUAGAGUAUGAGAGAGGGAGGUAGAAUUCCAUGUGUAGCGGUGAAAUGCGUANAUAUGUGGAGGAAUACCAGUGGCGAACGCGGCCUCAUGGCUCAUACUGUCGCUGAGGUGCGAAGCGUGGGGAGCAACAGGAUUACAUACUCUGGUAGUCCACCGCCGUAAACGAUGUCUACUAGUCUUUGGGAGACCUGAUUUCUUACUGGCGCAACUAAUG